rnacentral:rRNA from 1 species
AGCGAACGCUGGCGGCAGGCCUAACACAUGCAAGUCGAACGAAUCUUUCGGGGUUAGUGGCGGACGGGUGAGUAACACGUGGGAACGUGCCUUUAGGUUCGGAAUAACUCAGGGAAACUUGUGCUAAUACCGAAUGUGCCCUUCGGGGGAAAGAUUUAUCGCCUUUAGAGCGGCCCGCGUCUGAUUAGCUAGUUGGUUGAGGUAAUGGCUCACCAAGGCGACGAUCAGUAGCUGGUCUGAGAGGAUGAUCAGCCACAUUGGGACUGAGACACGGCCCAAACUCCUACGGGAGGCAGCAGUGGGGAAUCUUGCGCAAUGGGCGAAAGCCUGACGCAGCCAUGCCGCGUGAAUGAUGAAGGUCUUAGGAUUGUAAAAUUCUUUCACCGGGGACGAUAAUGACGGUACCCGGAGAAGAAGCCCCGGCUAACUUCGU